rnacentral:rRNA from 1 species
GGAUUAGAUACCCUGGUAGUCCACGCUGUAAACGAUGAAGACUAGAUGUUUGAAAGCCUUAGAGCUUUUGAGUAUCGCAGCUAACGCGUUAAGUCUUCCGCCUGGGGACUACGACCGCAAGGUUAAAACUCAAAGGAAUUGACGGGGGCCCGCACAAGCGGUGGAGCAUGUGGUUUAAUUCGAUGCAACGCGAAGUACCUUACCUACUCUUGACAUCCAAGGAAUUUUUCAGAGAUGAGAAAGUGCCUUCGGGAGCCUUGAGACAGGUGCUGCAUGGCUGUCGUCAGCUCGUGCCG